UAAGGAAUAUUGGUCAAUGGACGAAAGUCUGAACCAGCCAUGCCGCGUGGAGGAUGAAGGUCCUCUGGAUUGUAAACUUCUUUUAUCUGGGACGAAAAAAGGUCUUUCUAGAUCGUCUGACGGUACCAGAUGAAUAAGCACCGGCUAACUCCGUGCCAGCAGCCGCGGUAAUACGGAGGGUGCAAGCGUUAUCCGGAUUCACUGGGUUUAAAGGGUGCGUAGGUGGGUUGGUAAGUCAGUGGUGAAAUCUUCGAGCUUAACUCGGAAACUGCCAUUGAUACUAUCAGUCUUGAAUAUUGUGGAGGUUAGCGGAAUAUGUCAUGUAGCGGUGAAAUGCUUAGAUAUGACAUAGAACACCAAUUGCGAAGGCAGCUGGCUACACAUAUAUUGACACUGAGGCACGAAAGCGUGGGGAUCAAACA
rnacentral:rRNA from 1 species